CGUAGGUGGCAAGCGUUGUCCGGAUUUAUUGGGUUUAAAGGGUGCGUAGGCGGUUUAAUAAGUCAGUGGUGAAAUACGGCAGCUCAACUGUCGAGGUGCCAUUGAUACUGUUGGACUUGAGUACAGACGAGGUAGGCGGAAUUGACGGUGUAGCGGUGAAAUGCUUAGAUAUCGUCAAGAACACCGAUAGCGAAGGCAGCUUACUAGGCUGUAACUGACGCUGAGGCACGAAAGUGUGGGGAUCAAACAGGAUUAGAUACCCUGGUAGUCCACACUGUAAACGAUGAUUACUCGAUGCUGGCGAUACACAGCCAGCGUCUUAGCGAAAGCGAUAAGUAAUCCACCUGGGGAGUACGCCGGCAACGGUG
rnacentral:rRNA from 1 species